AUUACAACAAGUAAUUAAUUUGGCACUAUAUUGACAUUUGGAAAAUAAAAUAAGUCAGAUGGCCUUGGGCGGGAGAAUGCAGUAUGAGUACAUGCUUGGAUUGCAAGCUCACCCACUCUUCAAAAUUUCACAGAUUUGGGUGUCAACUGUCAAGCUCACGUACUUCUCAAAAUUUCACAAAUUUUUGACUAAUUUGAAGUGUUGAAGUGUCAUACCCAUGUUCAGGUAUCCUUAUCUGUCCCAGGUACUGUAGGGUAAAGUGAAAAGUCAAAAUAACAAGAUAUAAUAUCGAUUCUCAACACCCAUUUCUACAAGUUUAAAUUCUUAGGAUAUGUUUCUUUUUUUUCAAUAUGACAACAAAGCUUCAUUGACCAAAAU
rnacentral:misc_RNA from 1 species